rnacentral:rRNA from 1 species
GAUGAACGCUGGCGGCGUGCCUAAUACAUGCAAGUCGAGCGAACAGAUGAGGAGCUUGCUCCUCUGACGUUAGCGGCGGACGGGUGAGUAACACGUGGAUAACCUACCUAUAAGACUGGGAUAACUUCGGGAAACCGGAGCUAAUACCGGAUAAUAUAUUGAACCGCAUGGUUCAAUAGUGAAAGACGGUUUUGCUGUCACUUAUAGAUGGAUCCGCGCCGCAUUAGCUAGUUGGUAAGGUAACGGCUUACCAAGGCGACGAUGCGUAGCCGACCUGAGAGGGUGAUCGGCCACACGGGAACUGAGACACGGUCCAGACUCCUACGGGAGGCAGCAGUAGGGAAUCUUCCGCAAAGGGCGAAAGCCUGACGGAGCAACGCCGCGUGAGUGAUGAAGGUCUUCGGAUCGUAAAACUCUGUUAUUAGGGAAGAACAAAUGUGUAAGUAACUAUGCACGUCUUGACGGUACCUAAUCAGAAAGCCACGGCUAACUACGUG